AUUGAACGCUGGCGGCAGGCCUAACACAUGCAAGUCGAACGAGUGGCGGACGGGUGAGUAAUGUAUGGGAAACUGCCUGAUGGAGGGGGAUAACUACUGGACACGGUAGCUAAUACCGAAUACACUCGGAUGUGCCCCGAUGGGAUUAGCUCGUAGGGGGGGUAACGGCGCACCGAGGCGACGAUCCCUAGCUGGUCUGAGAGGAUGACCAGCCACACUGGAACUUAGACACGGUCCAGACUCCUACGGGAGGCAGCAGUGGGGAAUAUUGCACAAUGGGCGCAAGCCUGAUGCAGCCAUGCCGCGUGUAUGAAGAAGGCCUUCGGGUUGUAAAGUACUUUCAGCGGGGAGGCGUUACCCGCAGAAGAAGCACCGGCUAACUCCGUGCCAGCAGCCGCGGUAAUUC
rnacentral:rRNA from 1 species